CUCUAGUGAAAGCUGAGAGCCUUGGGGCUUUGCGAGUCUCUGACAGAGCUGUAUGCAAGUCCCAUUAUCUGCUGGAGAAAGUUGCCUUAACUACCUCAGGCUGUGAUUUCCAGCUCAUUCACUGGGUCUGACUGUGGCUAAGAGAACGGAAUACUGGUCUGUGAGAGCCACUUCAGGAAUUUUUUGCUUGGAGUUACAUAAUGAGAUUGACAUUUUAAAAGGACCACCUGAUACUGUAUGGAGAAUGGCUUAGAGGGCUGAACUGAUGCUUGAAGGGGAUGGACUCUGAAGGAAAGAGAGAAAAAGAGGAAUUUGGCCUCUUUUAUUACAUAUGAAAGAAAUCUUCAGCCCCUUCCUCCCCUCCCUGCAAAGGAUUAAGAACUGUUG
rnacentral:lncRNA from 13 species